UCCUUCAGACACCUGACCGCAGGUGUCGUACCAGAGUGUGUCAUGUCAACAUGUUUAAAAGGUAUUGCUCCCGAGAAGACCAAAUAAGAUCUUCCCCAUCUCAUCAGGUAGAGACUUCUGUCUCUCCUAUCGCUUCUAUUUCCAAGGUGUUGAUUACCUAUUGGCUGGCCUAUCAGGAGGAAGGGCCCUCAAUAAAGGAGGACCAGGAAGAGCUGGCCGGCUCUCUCUUCAUCCUGCGUCGGGGUCUACUGCUGACGUCCUUGACCAAGCAAAUUAUAUACAAUUCUAUGUUUGUGGUAACAUGUGUGUGGUGUGAGGUUGUGGAUUUAGCUACACCUUGGGGACGUAACAGGUUUAUUCAUCUCAACCCUAGUCAUGCUGCAGUUUGGAGGAGCAUCUCCGCAACCA